UACGUAGGUGGCAAGCGUUGUCCGGAUUUACUGGGCGUAAAGGGCGCGUAGGCGGCUUGCCAAGUCACUUGUGAAAUCUCUGGGCUUAACCCAGAACGGCCAAGUGAAACUGGCAUGCUAGAGUGCAGAAGGGGCAAUCGGAAUUCUUGGUGUAGCGGUGAAAUGCGUAGAUAUCAAGACGAACACCUGAGGUGAAGACGGGUUGCUGGGCUGACACUGACGCUGAGGCGCGAAAGCCAGGGGAGCAAACGGG
rnacentral:rRNA from 1 species